rnacentral:tRNA from 1 species
AUUCAUGUAGCUUAUGUUAGAGCAUAUUAUUGAAGAUAAUAAGGAAAAUUUAAUUUUAUGGAUA